AAAUCACCUUUUCUAGGUGCUUAUGUCCUUCAUCUGCUGUAGAAGAGCCAAGGUGUCCAACCUGAGCUGAACAGUUGACUCUCAAGUCAUCUAAAGAACUUGUGCCUGGAAUCAUCAAUCCAGAGACUGUCUGUGCUAAUCCACAUGGAAGAUGCCUGGAAGAUUGACUACAGGGCUCCCGAGAUCCCUUCCAAAAGGAAUUGCCCUUCUGAGAAGUCUCAUAGGAUCAAGAUGGACAGCAUUUGAAGAUCAAAUUUCAUGGAGGACUUCACAAAUAGUUCUACAAGAUGGACAUUUACCAAUUUCACUGAUUUACUACAAUGAAACCUUGAAGAGUGCAAUUACAGGAUCUUUAUUUGGUGGAUGUGGAGAAACCACACUAAGUGAUUUGUCUAAUCAUACAAUUGGAAUGAAAGGCAUCCAUGCUGUUCACUUGAGUGAUGUGAAUUUAAUUUCUACAGAAGGAAGGAUGCUGGGAUGCACUUUGGAUUCUUUUCCUGCUGCUUCUUGGCUCAGGCCCUGGCAGACAAUGGCAGAUACCUCCCAGAGGAGCAGCUACUAGGAGAUCCAGGGCUGAAUGCCUGACUACUGAACUUCACAGAUCAAACACAUACACCAAAUUUGAGACUGAGAAAUGUCUUAUCCUUCAAAUGGCAUUAUGCUGUUUAAUGUUCUUCACACAGCAUCACAGGAAUGAUAGCUUCCAUGGCACAAGAGGAAGUCAGAAAAGGAAGUCAAGAGACCAGCAAGCAUGAUCCAGGACCUACUUGUGAAACAGGAGAGCAAGUAGAAAAUGCACAGUCAGUGGAAGAGAGCAGAUACCUUGAUACCUUGGGAGAAAUAUAUGGAUGGUGCUAGGCUGUGUAGAGAUGGAGUUAGUGGCCAUUUCAAGAGUUCCACAUCCUUCCUGUACUGGGGGCCUCAGGCCUGGAUGCAGUACUUCAGAUGGGGCCUCACAAGAGCCGAGUAGAGGGGGACAAUCACCUCCCUCUCCCUGCUGCCCACCCCUUUCUUAAUGCAGCCCAGAACACAGUUGGCCUUUCAGGCUGCAAGAGCACACUGCUGGCUCAUGCCCAGCUUCUCAUCCACCAGGACCCCCAAGUCUUUCUCCGCAGGGCUGCUCUCAAGAAGAUCUUCUCCCAGUUUGUAUAAGUACUUGGGAUUGCCCUGACCCAAGUGCAGCACCCUGCAUUUAAGGUAUUUUUUUCACUGUAAAAAUAUGGUCCUUUUCUGUAGUAAUAAGUUGAUCAUAAUCACUGUCUAGCAACUCAAUUUAACGUGGCCUGACCUUUCACUCAUCUUUCAGGAUGUGAUUAGUCUUUUGCUACCUUUUUGUAUUUCACAUAUCCUGCUUAACAAAGAUGAGCAAAUGUUGUCUGUGUUACUGGAUGGCUCCUUUUCCACAUACAGAAAGGCUCAGAGGAAAUGUCAUACCAUCACUCAGCUCCCCUGCCAAAACAAAACAAACAACAAAACUGUGAGAUGUGUUCUGAGAUAUAUGAAAAAGUAUAUCAGGAAAAUCAGCAGAAUAUACAAGGAAUAUAUUUACUAGAGGGAGAUGAAACUUCUUCAUGCAUUGUAUUUUCACCUUAUUUAGUUCAUCUAUUUUUAAUAUCAAAAAGGAAGACUAAAGAAUUGUGUAAGGUCUCUUUCAUCUGUUCUUGUUCUGCAAAGCACAGAGAUAAGCAUGAAUCGACAAUGAAAUAAGCAUUUCAAAAUAUGUCUUGUUACUUCCAUGUAGUGAAGGAGGCAUACUCACUUAAUCAGAAGUAUUGCAACCACAUGGAUGAAUAGUAACAAUCUGUACUGCAGCAGCUAUGCAACAGAAUCUACUUUCUUUCACAGCAAAGUAGAACUAUAUUGAUUUGUCCACCUCUAAGUCAAAAGACUGUUUCCCAGUAAGACCUUCUCUUUCUUCAGAGUUCAGUGUGGGUCUCAAAAAUGUUCUUGAUUAAAGCCAGAAUCAAACAUGCUAAUACUUCAGGUUGGAAAUAAAUACUUCCUUUUUUUCCUCUCUAAAAGGUGUUAAAAAGACUUUUGCAAAUGCUUGAGCUUAAAGCCUACGCUCACUGCUUAUGUUUGCACCUUCAACCAAAGGACUCUACAAAGUCCAGGAAUUUACAGUAGUUCAAAAAGCAAUUGACAGAGUACAACAUCUUAAAAAGAAAAGGAACUACCUUUGAUUCAAUAAUAGUUGAGCUACAAAUCGCUGGUUGCUGGCUGAGUAAUGUAGGGCAGUACAUCAUUAGGCACUUGUUCUGAUCUCACACAUUUCCCUUGACAUCUGCUAUUAGCCAAAGGAUACAGGCUAGAUAAUGAUUUGUCUGACUUGCAACUGUUGAUCUUAUGUUCUUAUUUUCUGAAGUCUGCUUCCUGAAAGCUAAGCCAUCAGGCAAGUCCCUAGAGGGUAUGCAUGAUAUUUUUGAAAAUAAGCUAUUCUAGAAAGCCUAGUCUGGAAGAAAGAAAAUCCACGUCUGUAUGAAUCCUUUGUUUUUGGCUCAAAGGUUACUUUCUGAGGCAUUUCUUGUGAUAAGACUCUGACUUAUCUAGAAGAUGAGAGGUGGGUGUUGCCAUGUGGCAAUCAACAUCACUGUGUGGACAAUUUUACAUUUGAAAGCAUUUAUUUGGAUCUGUUUGCCUUCAGAAGAGAAUGCUCAGGACUGUUUACUGGUAGAAGAUCUGGCCUGUGACAAAGAACUCCAGCUUGCUAUGGGAGACUGGGGGAUGAUACCAUUGUAUUCUGUGAAGGCAAUAUACAAGUUGGCACCUCCAUGCUCCCUCUUAUCUGCUGGCAAGGCCUGGAAGAUGGGAACUAAAGGAGUUCUGCGAAGAUCCAAAAGCCAGAAGCUGUCACUCCAAAAGGAGCUGACUCAACCACUUUGGACUUAUAAAUAAGUUUGUACUUAUGUAAGGCAUUGGAAAGUAUCUCCAUCGUCUCCAUAGUCACUGUUGUCAUCAACCAAACAACAGCCCCCGACGACCGAUCACUACUGAAGAUCAACGAUUGAACUACGAACCACACUAGACCCGUGGUGGUGUCUAUCUCCCUCUUGCUCUCUUCAAAGACUCCUUGCUUUUAUUUCCUAUCUUUUCUAUCACCCAUCUUCUCUUCCUCAUCUCCCUAAAUGACUAGGAUUUGUAAUAAACUGUUCAGGCUAACAUUUGACCCAUUGUGUCUUAAUCACACCAUCAGUUAUACAUAUGUCAAAGAACCUCCUCUCCCUCCUAUAAAUUGGAGCGAGACAACGUCUUUAUUUGUUUUCAGAAUAUAAUGACUGCAAGAAUGUAAAUAUCACUAGUUAGACUGUGGAAG
ensembl:lncRNA